rnacentral:tRNA from 1 species
GUUGAUAUGGCUGAGCGGUCGAAAGCGUUGGGUUUAAGCUCCAAUCCGAAAGGCGCGCGAGUUCAAAUCUCGCUAUCAACA